GCCGGGAUAGCUCAACUGGCAUUAGAGCAUCUGUCUUGUAAACAGGAGGUUCUGAGUUCAAAUCUCAGUCCCGGCA
rnacentral:tRNA from 1 species